AGUGAACGCUGGCGGUAGGCCUAACACAUGCAAGUCGAACGGCAGCACAGUAAGAGCUUGCUCUUACGGGUGGCGAGUGGCGGACGGGUGAGGAAUACAUCGGAAUCUACUUUUUCGUGGGGGAUAACGUAGGGAAACUUACGCUAAUACCGCAUACGACCUACGGGUGAAAGCAGGGGAUCUUCGGACCUUGCGCGAUUGAAUGAGCCGAUGUCGGAUUAGCUAGUUGGCGGGGUAAAGGCCCACCAAGGCGAUGAUCCGUAGCUGGUCUGAGAGGAUGAUCAGCCACACUGGAACUGAGAUACGGUCCAGACUCCUACGGGAGGCAGCAGUGGGGAAUAUUGGACAAUGGGCGCAAGCCUGAUCCAGCCAUACCGCGUGGGUGAAGAAGGCCUUCGGGUUGUAAAGCCCUUUUGUUGGGAAAGAAAAGCAGCAGGUUAAUACCCCGCUGUUCUGACGGUACCCAAAGAAUAAGCACCGGCUAACUUCGUG
rnacentral:rRNA from 1 species